GACGAACGCUGGCGGCGUGCUUAACACAUGCAAGUCGAACGGUGAACGAGGGAGCUUGCUCCCUCCGGGUCAGUGGCGAACGGGUGAGUAACACGUGAGCAAUCGGCCCCGAACUCUGGGAUAAGCGUUGGAAACGACGUCUAAUACCGGAUACGACGCGGGAGGGCAUCCUCUCCGCGUGGAAAGAACUUCGGUUCGGGAUGAGCCCGCGGCCUAUCAGCUUGUUGGUGAGGUAACGGCUCACCAAGGCGACGACGGGUAGUCGGCAUGAGAGGGUGACCGGCCACACUGGGACUGAGACACGGCCCAGAGUCGUACGGGAGGCAGCAGUGGGGAAUAUUGCACAAUGGGCGCAAGCCUGAUGCAGCAGCGCCGCGUGAGGGAAGACGGCCUUCGGGUUGUAAACCUCUUUUAGCAGGGAAGAAGCGAAAGUGACGGUACCUGCAGAAAAAGCACCGGCUAACUACGUG
rnacentral:rRNA from 1 species